AUUGAACGCUGGCGGCAGGCCUAACACAUGCAAGUCGAGCGAGCGGCGGACGGGUGAGUAAUGUAUGGGGACUGCCCGAUAGAGGGGGAUAACUAAUGGAAACGGUAGCUAAUACCGCAUACUAUCGGAUAACCCAUAUGGGAGUAGCUAGUAGGUGAGGUAAUGGCACACCUAGGCGACGAGCCCUAGCUGGUCUGAGAGGGUGAUCAGCAACACUGGUACUGCGACACGGCCCAGACUCCUACGGAGGCAGCAGUGGGGAAUAUUGCACAAUGGGCUCAAGCCUGAUGCAGCCAUGCCGCGUGUAUGAAGAAGGCCCUAGGGUUGUAAAGUACUUUCAGUCGGGAGGCGUUACCGACAGAAGAAGCACCGGCUAACUCCGUGCCAGCAGCCGCGGUAAUUC
rnacentral:rRNA from 1 species